UUACGGCCACAUGAAGUUGAAAUCCUGGUUCCCGUACGAUCACUGAAUUUAAGCAACGUCGAGACCAGCCAGUACCUAGAUAGGUGACUGCUUGGGAACAACGGGCGCUGUAAG